rnacentral:rRNA from 1 species
UACAGAGGGUGCAAGCGUUAAUCGGAAUUACUGGGCGUAAAGCGUGCGCAGACGGUUGCGUAAGUCAGAUGUGAAAGCCCCGGGCUCAACCUGGGAAUUGCAUUUGAGACUGCGUAGCUAGGGUGCGGAAGAGGGAAGCGGAAUUUCCGGUGGAGCGGUGAAAUGCGUAGAGAUCGGAAAGAACACCAACGGCGAAAGCGCUCUGCUGGGCCGACACUGACACUGAGAGACGAAAGCUAGGGGAGCGAAUGGG